GUGAAUCAUCAAAUUUUUGAACGCAAAUUGCGCUUUCUGGGAUCCCGGGGAGUAUGCCUGUUUGAGGGUCAGUAAUAACAAAAAAUCGGUUUGGUUGCAAAUUGCGUCGCUUCCGGAGUUUGGGCUAUCUUAACUUUUUUGGUUAAGGGGCUUAAAAUUGUCUUUAUUUGUGCAUUUUUAGAUGUACGUUAAUUUUUUUUUUAUUCGUCUAUUUUUAAUUCUAUAAUCUUUUUAGAUGC
rnacentral:misc_RNA from 1 species